rnacentral:tRNA from 1 species
AUUUAAAUAGCUUAUAUAGAGUAUAGUAUUGAAGAUACUAUGGAAAUUACUUUAAUUUUUAAAUA